rnacentral:rRNA from 1 species
UACGUAGGGGGGCAAGCGUUGUCCGGAAUCAUUGGGCGUAAAGAGCGCGUAGGCGGCCCUGUAAGUCCGCUGUGAAAGUCAAGGGCUCAACCCUUGGAUGCCGGUGGAUACUGCAGGGCUAGAGUCCGGAAGAGGCGAGUGGAAUUCCUGGUGUAGCGGUGAAAUGCGCAGAUAUCAGGAGGAACACCGAUGGCGAAGGCAGCUCGCUGGGACGGUACUGACGCUGAGGCGCGAAAGCGGUGGGGAGCAAACAGG